rnacentral:tRNA from 1 species
GUGUGGCUCAGUGUAGAGCACUUGCCUAGCAUGCAUGAAGCUUGGGUUCAGUCCCCAGCAC